UCCGGUUUGACACCGGCAGUCUCCUACGAGUCCCCGGCAUUACCCGCUGGCAACAUAGGACAAGGGUUGCGCUCGUUGCGGGACUUAACCCAACAUCUCACGACACGAGCUGACGACAACCAUGCACCACCUGUGUAGGGCCCCGAAGGACACCGUAUCUCUACGGCUUUUCCCUACAUGUCAAGCCCAGGUAAGGUUCUUCGCGUCGCAUCGAAUUAAGCAACAUGCUCCGCCGCUUGUGCGGGCCCCCGUCAAUUCCUUUGAGUUUCAACCUUGCGGCCGUACUCCCCAGGCGGCUCAUUUAAUGCGUUAGCUGCGACGCGGAAGGGGUCGAUACCCCCCACAUCUAAUGAGCAUCGUUUAGGGCUAGGACUAC
rnacentral:misc_RNA from 1 species